AUUGAACGCUGGCGGAAUGCUUUACACAUGCAAGUCGAACGGCAGCACGGACUUCGGUCUGGUGGCGAGUGGCGAACGGGUGAGUAAUAUAUCGGAACGUGCCCAGUCGUGGGGGAUAACGUAGCGAAAGUUACGCUAAUACCGCAUACGAUCUAUGGAUGAAAGCGGGGGAUCGCAAGACCUCGCGCGAUUGGAGCGGCCGAUAUCAGAUUAGGUAGUUGGUGGGGUAAAGGCUCACCAAGCCAACGAUCUGUAGCUGGUCUGAGAGGACGACCAGCCACACUGGAACUGAGACACGGUCCAGACUCCUACGGGAGGCAGCAGUGGGGAAUUUUGGACAAUGGACGCAAGUCUGAUCCAGCCAUUCCGCGUGCAGGAUGAAGGCCCUCGGGUUGUAAACUGCUUUUGUACGGAACGAAAAGGUUUCUAUUAAUACUAGGAGCUCAUGACGGUACCGUAAGAAUAAGCACCGGCUAACUACGUGCCAGCAGCCGACGG
rnacentral:rRNA from 1 species